GGGUGAGUUCAGAGGUAAACAUGGAGCUCAAAUCAUGAUGUGUAUUUGUGACAAUGUAAUAUCUACUAACCUCAUCCAGCAGCAACGGAUCAGAUUCACCUUCCAAUCGCAAAGGUACAUGGAAUUUAUCCAUCUCUGGUAAAUGAACAACAACCUUGGGGUAUCACCUUGAUGUACAUCAGAUAGUAAUAUACUGCAAUAACCAAGGGUUCCAAGCUUUGCACUAUGAAAGAGACUUAGAUGGUUACUUCAAACAACAUUCUCGUACAGGGAUAUUUCAAGAUUUAUCAUUACUGUGUCACUUAGUUUGCAUGCCCAAUAGCAUUGUAGCACAAAGCUAAUACACGCACCAUUGCUAGAUCUCGAGCCCUAGUAGUUCCAUCUCUUUUUUGGCAGCUCCUAUGGCCGUUUCAGCAAGGUCAAAGCUACCUACAUAUAUAAAAAAAGCAUAACAACUGUGAGUCUAGAAUUU